rnacentral:rRNA from 1 species
GCAACUCGACUCCAUGAAGCUGGAUUCGCUAGUAAUCGCGCAUCAGCCAUGGCGCGGUGAAUACGUUCCCGGGCCUUGUACACACCGCCCGUCAAGCCAUGGGAGCCGGGGGUGCCUGAAGUACGUGACCGCGAGGAGCGUCCUAGGGCAAAACUGGUGACUGGGGCUAAGUCGUAACAAGGUAAC